GGCAUUGGAUGAAAAAGUUACAUCUUAUCCACUCUCAACCUCAACCUCAAUAUCUUCAAAUAUUGAAAUAAAAUCAUUAUAGUUUAAUCGAGCCCAUUAUACCUACUGGACUUAUAUUCUCCCAUUUUUAAUAAGAUGGAGGAGGAAGGGAAGGAGGCCUUAGUUGCCUUCCUUCUUCAUAACAUGGGCUAGCCGAAGGGAAGGUGGCAGGAAGCUGAAAAGCAUGAAACCAGAGCCGUGAGCCACAAGUAACCAAUUAUCACUUACACACACAAAGCCAUGGAUUAGCUCAAAACCCCAUAUUCCAUUAAUUACAAUAUUAAAUACCUCGUAGAGAGAGAAACACGAAAACGACAAAAACUAAAGCGGACGAUAAUCUUAAGAGAGAGAAACUGGGGACCGCACUCAACUCCCUGACGUCAUCUACCUACACUAACAAUCAAAGCCUCUUCUCUUCACUGUUCCAUUCUUUCAGAUUUUCCUCUAUAAAUCUCUCCCC
rnacentral:lncRNA from 1 species